rnacentral:lncRNA from 1 species
GGAGUGUAUAUGUGGGGUCUGGCAUGCCAUGAGCAAUACAGAAAUGUGCAGGACACCAAAGUAUGGGUGAAAGCUACAUCAGGGAAAAUCUGAACCCCAAAAUGUCAGAAACCAACUCAAACAUUGUUCCUGAAUGUACCUGAGAAAGACAAGCCCAGAGCCCCAUCCUAGGCCUCCAGGAGUGUCAGUUAUGAUGGAGCAGCGACAUUCUGGGGCUCCAUAGGGCACAUCAUUGUCUUGAGGCUCCCCGAUACGCCAUCUUACUAACAAGGGGGCCUCUGCUGCUUGACCGUAUUAGUUCCUGAAGAACAGGAACUCCUGUACUCCAAGGUCCCGUUCCCCCUUCCCCUGGCCCAGCCUAGGAUCCCUUUGAAAAACAAGCUACCAACAGAGCAAUAGAACUUUUUAUUUCUUGAACCAGAAAAAGGUGAUGAGAUUUAAGUGAGCAAAACUACAGGGGCCUUACUGUGACUCUCAAGGAGAGUUGAAAGGGGCCACCUGUAGGAGAGGGGAGCUAAUGAGCCUGGGGAGAGUAGGGGUGAGGACAGCAUGGAGCACAUGCUCCAAGAUCUCACGGGAGAGGACCUGGGGAGGCUGGCUCUGGGACAAGGGCCUAGCUGUGCCAAGAAGGGGCGAGCCUUCAGACUGGGACCCACAGGUGCUGAGGAGCACAGCUCGCCUCCAUGGGAUCUCUGUUGCCCUCUGGCUCCUCCAGGGCUGCUGCCACCACCACCACUGCUCCUCCGUCAUCCUAGAGCCAGCCCAGCCGGUCCUCCCUGCCUGGAUCUUCCUUGUCCUCCUCCUCCAGGCGGGCCCCUCUUAAGCACGGUUACUUCCACUGGCCCCGGCAGCACCAGCGGCACCAUCGCCUCCUCCACCUCCUCCGGUCUCCUCCAUGAUCCCCUGCGUCUGCGGGGAUGCAGGCCCGGGCCUCGGUCCGGGGCGCACGGACAGCAGUGGCAGCGGCAGCGGAGGCAGUGAUGGGACUGCGCGUCCGUCUGGCCGGCCGUGUCCGUCCCUGUCCAGACCCACCUCCCACUGGCGGCGGGGGCGGCGCGGAGGAGGCGGCAGAGAUGACAGCGGGGGCGGGGGCGGCGGCAGCAGCAGUGGCAGCUCCUGGCUCCCUUGGGCUCUAUCACCGACUGCUCCUGCUGGCUGCUGGGAGUCUGGCCUCCCUCCCUCCCGGCCUCCCCACCUGCCCCAAGGUUGGACCUCGAGGGAGGGCCCAGCGCAGCGGCCGCACUGUCCCCUCCCCGCCUCCCUCCGCAAUGCUUAGCAUACUCCCACCCCCGGCAGCCCGCCCAGCCUGGCCUGGUCCAGAGGAGCCCGGCUGACUGCCAGCGACGGCAGCGUUGGCAACCCCUCCCACCCUCCCCGGCUCCCGCCUGGCACUGGGGAGUCCCCCCACCUCUACCGCCCGGGGGCCAGCCCCUGCGGCUGUCACGGCCGCCCACCGGCACACUGGUUGCGCAUUCACUCGCCCAUUGCCCAGCCCCGCGUAGUGCGCUGCGGAUCCGAGCCCCUCUCCCCCCCCCUUACCCGAACCCCACUUCAUCCAGGCGCAGCGGCCCGAUGAGACCCUGAGCGCUGCUUACCGAACCACACAACCCACUUCUGCUUCCUUCUCAGCCGAACUCCCAGCUCGUCUGGCAGGCUGUCCUCCCCAAGCUGGCACUCCCCUAUAUAUACCCGGUACACGGGGGACCCCCGCAGGCACGCUGACCUCUAACCCUAACUCACUCGUUCCAGCUCUGAUCAGUUCCCAUGACCUCCCCCUCCUCCUGAAAUCCACGUGAGUCACGCGCGCGCACACACACACACACACACACACACACACACAGACACAGACACAGACGCACAGAUACACACACACACACACACACACACACACACAGAGACGCGCGCGCGCGCGCGCGCGCAUAGAGACCUGACCAUCACUCACAGAGGCUUCUUUUCUCAAGCUCCUCAACCCGGAGACGGG